rnacentral:rRNA from 1 species
AUAUUUUUCUGACGAGACCGCUGGGAUAAACCCAGAGGAAGGUGGGGAUGACGUCAAGUCAGCAUGGCCCUUACGCCCUGGGCUACACACACGCUACAAUGGCCGGUACAAUGGGCUGCCAAGGCGCGAGCCGGAGCUAAUCCCGCAAAACCGGCCCCAGUUCAGAUUGCAGGCUGCAACUCGCCUGCAUGAAGGCGGAGUCGCUAGUAACCGCAGGUCAGCACACUGCGGUGAAUACGUUCCCGGGCCUUGUACACACCGCCCGUCACGUCAUGGAAGCCGGCAGCACCUGAAGCCGCUGAGCCAACGCGUAAGCGAGGCAGGCGCCUAGGGUGAGGCUGGUAACUGGGACGAAGUCGUAACAAGGUAGCCGUACGGGAACGUGCGGCUGGAUCACCUCCUUU